CGGAGUCGGGCAACACGGGUUUAGGGUGUCAAGCCCCCGCGCCAGGUCCUGAACACAGAGUAGGGAGGGAAGCAGGGCGUCCCUGAGCGCACCCCGCCCUGAGCCCCGAAUGCAGCGGGGCACCCUACGGAAAGGGAGAGGGUGGAGGAGCCGGAGCAAGAAGAACUACUCCGCAAGAAGCUCCAAGCCCAGGCGAGAACACCGCAUGAAAACCCGUAAUUACACUGGAAGCCAUCCCCUCUCCAAGGUUACCUUCGGCGGACCUGGCGUGCGUGUCCUGCGAGCUCUCCCCUUGCCGGUGGCAGUGCAAAUGGAACCUCUAAAGACAGUGGCCAGUGGCCAGGACUUCUUCCCGUACUGCGGCUCCUGGACUGAGGCUCUAUGAACUACACUUGAUGACCCUAACCCAGCCCAGCAGCUCUCUAAACGCGGAGAAUCGUGGGAAACGGAGAAGGGCGAUCCGGGGUCCAUGGACACCAAUGUUCUCUGGACGCGGGUUAUACAAGGCCCAACACAAAUAUACAUAGUCCACAUAAUGUGGCCUAAAAUAAAAAUGCUAGCCACUGUGCGCAGGAAGAAAUGACAAACUCUCAGGGCUUUUGUUUGCUUUUUGACAAAUUCGAGGCAUUCAGAGG